CACAGACAGAGUUUUUUGGAGCUGAUAGGCCUUAUUAGCUUUGUAUCAACUAAUUUGGCAAUGGCUUGAAUAUAACGAACAUUCCUUAUACAAAAAAAUUGUUGCGCACUAUAGC